rnacentral:rRNA from 1 species
UAGGGAAUCUUCCACAAUGGACGAAAGUCUGAUGGAGCAACGCCGCGUGUGUGAUGAAGGCUUUCGGUCGUGAAGCACUGUUGUAUGGGAAGAACAGCUAGAAUAGGAAAUGAUUUUAGUUUGACGGUACCAUACCAGAAAGGGACGGCUAAAUACGUGCCAG